AGGAGCAUAUUGAAUUUUUCUCCUGGCAGAAGAAUAUUUUUCACUUCUUGAAAAAAUGAAGACUUUUCAGUUUUACAACGACUUGAAAGAAUAUCUUUUACGGGAAGAAUUUAGCAACAAUUUAAUGGUCAGAGAGCGAAGUGAAAUACGACGUGUGUCCGUGAAUUUUAUGAUUAAAGUCCAUCAUCCAUGCCCUGGCUGCUCUACAGGGUGUAUCAGGACAGGAGGCAGAAGACUUAUUUCUUGGUGGCCCAGAAUACAGUAUCAGUGAAGUGGAAGAAUUUAACUGAAAGAUAGGGCAGCAAUUAAAGAAGGAGGGAAUGCUGUGAUAUCUGUUAGAAUGGAAGAUGAUGCUACUGCCCAGUGCUUCCAGAAUCCUUCAUUUGAGUCUUGGGUCUGAAUCUACUGCGUCAUUGCCAAGUAUUCUGGGUGAUGCCCUUUGCCAUGCACCCUGGUCAAGUCUCGUGCAACUGACUGUGGUGCUGAAGAGAGAAGAUUUCUGAAGACCCUCUUGAAAUGGAGCUGCAAUUGGAUUAACACCACAACAGUAUGCUUGCUGAGAAUGUGCACAGGGGCCUGGGGAGGCUGUGACCUUGUGACCCUGAGACAUUGUUUUGUCAAGCAUCCUGACCAACUUGACCUUUUUGUGUUCUUCAACAGGGCCAUCUGACCAUCAGAUAUAUUUAAGGAGAAGGACCUUUCAAUUUUCCUCUUGUGUACUUUUUAAUUGUAUAUAUAUUUUUUCGUUUUGAUAAAGUUAUAUAUAUUUGUUAAGCAGUUUAGCAGUUUGGG